rnacentral:misc_RNA from 1 species
GAUGAAGAACGCAGUGAAAUGCGAUAAGUAAUGUGAAUUGCAGAAUCUCGUGAAUCAUCGAAUCUUUGAACGCACAUUGCGCCCUAUGGUAUUCCGUAGGGCAUGCCUGUCUGAGCGUCAACUCCCACCCUCUCAAGUCUUCUUUUUUGUUAAAAAGGAGAUUUGGAUUACUUUGAGGAAGUAUCGUUUUUUUUUAUAAUGCUGCUCCUCAGAAAUUCAUAGGCAGUAUGGUCAAACCUGAACCAGGCGUAAUAAUUCUAUAAAAAUCGUCUAUGAAGGAAUGUCUGUAUUAGCCUUUAACCCCCCCCCUAAUUUAUUUUACUUGGGUGACCUCAGAUCAGGUAGGGAUACCCGCUGAACUUAAGCAUAUCAAUAAGCAGA